rnacentral:rRNA from 1 species
GAUGAACGCUGGCGGCGUGCCUAAUACAUGCAAGUCGAGCGAACGGACGAGAAGCUUGCUUCUCUGAUGUUAGCGGCGGACGGGUGAGUAACACGUGGAUAACCAACCUAUAAGACUGGGAUAACUUCGGGAAACCGGAGCUAAUACCGGAUGAUAUUUUGAACCGCAUGGUUCAAAAGUGAAAGACGGUCUUGCUGUCACUUAUAGAUGGAUCCGCGCUGCAUUAGCUAGUUGGUAAGGUAACGGCUUACCAAGGCAACGAUGCAUAGCCGACCUGAGAGGGUGAUCGGCCACACUGGAACUGAGACACGGUCCAGACUCCUACGGGAGGCAGCAGUAGGGAAUCUUCCGCAAUGGGCGAAAGCCUGACGGAGCAACGCCGCGUGAGUGAUGAAGGUCUUCGGAUCGUAAAACUCUGUUAUUAGGGAAGAACAUAUGUGUAAGUAACUGUGCACAUCUUGACGGUACCUAAUCAGAAAGCCACGGCUAACUACGUGCCAGCAGCCGCGGUAAUACGUAGGUGGCAAGCGUUAUCCGGAAUUAUUGGGCGUAAAGCGCGCGUAGGCGGUUUUUUAAGUCUGAUGUGAAAGCCCACGGCUCAACCGUGGAGGGUCAUUGGAAACUGGAAAACUUGAGUGCAGAAGAGGAAAGUGGAAUUCCAUGUGUAGCGGUGAAAUGCGCAGAGAUAUGGAGGAACACCAGUGGCGAAGGCGACUUUCUGGUCUGUAACUGACGCUGAUGUGCGAAAGCGUGGGGAUCAAACAGGAUUAGAUACCCUGGUAGUCCACGCCGUAAACGAUGAGUGCUAAGUGUUAGGGGGUUUCCGCCCCUUAGUGCUGCAGCUAACGCAUUAAGCACUCCGCCUGGGGAGUACGACCGCAAGGUUGAGACUCAAAGGAAUUGACGGGGACCCGCACAAGCGGUGGAGCAUGUGGUUUAAUUCGAAGCAACGCGAAGAACCUUACCAAAUCUUGACAUCCUUUGACAACUCUAGAGAUAGAGCCUUCCCCUUCGGGGGACAAAGUGACAGGUGGUGCAUGGUUGUCGUCAGCUCGUGUCGUGAGAUGUUGGGUUAAGUCCCGCAACGAGCGCAACCCUUAAGCUUAGUUGCCAUCAUUAAGUUGGGCACUCUAAGUUGACUGCCGGUGACAAACCGGAGGAAGGUGGGGAUGACGUCAAAUCAUCAUGCCCCUUAUGAUUUGGGCUACACACGUGCUACAAUGGACAAUACAAAGGGCAGCGAAACCGCGAGGUCAAGCAAAUCCCAUAAAGUUGUUCUCAGUUCGGAUUGUAGUCUGCAACUCGACUACAUGAAGCUGGAAUCGCUAGUAAUCGUAGAUCAGCAUGCUACGGUGAAUACGUUCCCGGGUCU